UUUGCCUGCUUCCAACAUUGACUGAACUUCACGGGAGGUUACCCAAAACCUUCAGGGUCGUCCUGACUUGUUUCCCAAAGUGUAAUGCCUUGAAUCUUUCCUUGGACUUCCCUCACACUACGUAAUCCCGAAUAUUUGCCUUGGAUCUUUGUGAGGAUGAUAAUCAGGAUGGACUGGCAACUUCCAAACUCCUAUAUGUGGAACCAGAAGCCAGAAGUACACUCCUCCCAUUCUUCACAUUACAAGUCCACCAGGAAGAAUUCUCUCCCCAUCUCUGCCAGAGAAACUUGGUGAGACCUCAGGGACUUCACCAAGAUACCAUGUUCUCCAAGCCAUCCUGAAGAAACACUGAAAGCAGAAGUACCACUCCCAGCCCUGUUCCUGGGCAAAAGCAGGGAGACAGACAUUUGAGGAAGGCCAGUUGCAAAAAAGAGACACAUUUCAAAUUUUCUUAAAUGCCUUUAAUUGGAGACUCAAACCCUCUAAACUGUAGUUCAAGCCUGGCUCUGUGGAACAGCAUCUGGUUCUCAGUGGAGUUAGGGGAGAAAUGCAUAAUUGAGGUUGAAAUGCAGUCUCCCUGGUCUUCCCUUCUAGAGUUUGUUGCUGCUUAAGCCUUAAAAUAAUUGUUUAUGA